UACGGGGGGGGGCAAGCGUUGUUCGGAAUUACUGGGCGUAAAGGGUCUGUAGGUGGCCAACUAAGUCAGACGUGAAAUCCCUCAGCUCAACUGGGGAACUGCGUCUGAGACUGGAUGGCUUGAGUGCAGGAGAGGAACGCGGAAUUCCAGGUGUAGCGGUGAAAUGCGUAGAUAUCUGGAGGAACACCGGUGGCGAAGGCGGCGUUCUGGACUGCAACUGACACUGAGAGACGAAAGCCAGGGGAGCAAACGGG
rnacentral:rRNA from 1 species